rnacentral:rRNA from 1 species
AGUGAACGCUGGCGGUAGGCCUAACACAUGCAAGUCGAACGGCAGCACAGUAAGAGCUUGCUCUUACGGGUGGCGCGUGGCGGACGGGUGAGGAAUACAUCGGAAUCUACUUUUUCGUGGGGGAUAACGUAGGGAAACUUACGCUAAUACCGCAUACGACCUACGGGUGAAAGCAGGGGAUCUUCGGACCUUGCGCGAUUGAAUGAGCCGAGGUCGGAUUAGCUAGUUGGCGGGGUAACGGCCCACCAAGGCGACGAUCCGUAGCUGGUCUGAGAGGAUGAUCAGCCACACUGGAACUGAGACACGGUCCAGACUCCUACGGGAGGCAGCAGUGGGGAAUAUUGGACAAUGGGCGCAAGCCUGAGCCAGCCAUACCGCGUGGGUGAGGAAGGCCUUCGGGUUGUAAAUCCCUUUUGUUGGGAAAGAAAAGCAGCAGGUUAAUACCCCGCUGUUCUGACGGUACCCAAAGAAUAAGCACCGGCUAACUUCGUG